UAAAUUUUCUCCAAUUUUGUAGGCAUUUGGCAUAUCUUCUGAUGAAAACUUUGUUAUCACCACGACAAGCAGAAAAGAAAUUACAGAAGACAACUUCAAAGAACUUGUUCAGGAUGGAGUUACUCUUUAUCUACUACAGUCAGUUGACCAAACCCUGCUUUCAGCAACAAAGGAGAGAAUUGACUUCCUGCCCCACUAUGAUACACUUGUCAAAAGUGGCAUGUAUGAAUACUAUGCCAGUGAAGGGCAAAAUCCUUUGCCAUUUGCUCUUGCUGAGUUGAUUGACAAUUCUUUAUCAGCUACGGCUCGAAAUACUGAUAUUCGAAGCAUACAGAUUAAAUUGGUAAGUCAGAAAUACAC